GAUUAACGCUAGCGGCAGGCCUAAUACAUGCAAGUUGAACGGGAUUGAUUGUAGCAAGACGGUCAUGAGAGUAGCGCACGGGUGCGUAACACGUAUGCAACCUACCUAUAACUGGGGAAUAGCCUCCCGAAAGGGAGAUUAAGACCGCAUAAUAUUAUUGAAUGGCAUCAUUUGAUAAUUAAAUCCCAGGGGGUUAUAGAUGGGCAUGCGUCCGAUUAGCUAGUGGGUGAGUUAAUGGAUCACCAAGGCUACGAUCGGUAGGGGAUCUGAGGGGAUGAUCCCCCACACUGGUACCGCGACACGGACCAGAAUCCGACGGGAGGCAGCAGUAAGGAAGAUUGGACAAUGGGCGCAAGCCUGAUCCAGCCAUGCCGCGUGAAGGAUGAAGGCCCUAUGGGUCGUAAACUUCUUUUAAGCGGGACGAAGCCCCUCGACGUGUCGAGGGCUGACGGUACCGUAAGAAUAAGGGUCGGCUAACUUCGUGCCAGCAGCCGCCGUAA
rnacentral:rRNA from 1 species